ensembl:lncRNA
AGCUUCUUUUUCCCCAGUUUGAACCGAGCCGGCAUCGUCUCAUCUUUCUCUCCCCGGCGCUCUCCACUACAUCGGAGGGCGAGGCGUGACACCCCUCCCCCCGUCCCCCCCCCGUCCCCCGCCGUGUGCUGCGCCUGUGGAGAGUCUCGUCCCUCACCCGGACCCAGGACACCUCCUGACAAGGUCACCGAAGUUCUGCCACUCUGAGAUUAAAACAGCUCCAUCUAUCCAGAACCUUCGGUGACGCAGAGACACGGCGUUCUCGUCCACAUCCCUAUGUCCCCCGGCUGUUGCCCCCAGCGCCCAGUAGAUGGAAGCAGAGCCACACUGACGUGGAAACUAGUCUGGUGUGACUUUCUCCAGAUGAUACUGCGGGUCUUCAGGCCAUGGACAACUUGGACAUGGGCAGCUCAGCAGGAUGGAUAUUGGCUACGACACGAGUGAUUCACCUCUCAUCGCUCCACUCUGCUGGCUGGAAUAAUGUUGGGCCCUUCACAUUUGUUCAAGACUUUGUUGGAGUUGAGUCAGAUCCAAAGAAAUCGCUGGCGGACCAAAUGUUUAUGGUGUAAAUAAGUUCCAAACAUGAGGUGAUUAGUUACAUUUGGCGGAGACGUCCUGGUGCCAAAUUGCUUGGCGAAAGACAAACGUCAGAUAACAUCCAAUAAAAAGUCACCUCACGCGCCUGCUGAGUCAGCAAAGCCGCCACAUUCUGCAAUAUCCUCACACCUUUGGCCAGCCAUUAAUCAAUACACACCUCAUUCAUCAUUCACCAUUGUUGCAACAGCGCUACAGUUUAAUCACCAAGCUCUGAUUUCAAUAAAAUCCUCCUUUAAAUGGUGCAUUGAUGAGCUGUUUUUUGACUCAGACCUGCUUGACUCAAUUAAAGAGCCAAUUUCAACCUACACACAACACAGACCUUGUGUAAUGAGGCAAGGACAAAGAUGCAAAAAUGAAAAUAAAAAUAAUUCAGUUUUCUCUCUCCUGACAAAUGCUCUUGUAAAUUGUGCAUUGCUUUGAAAGUGGGAAUCAAUACAUUUUCUUUUAUGGCUUGUGUAAAAGUUCAAUUGUUUUGAAGAUGCCUGUCCUUUGGCAAUUAACGCGGUAAAAUAUUCAACGGGGAAUGGGCAACUAUUUCAAGUUAAAUUGGAAUAUGAGUGCAAGUGGCCAAUGUUUCUUCCUACCUUCAUUAAAAUGGCUCCAAAUAACAAAUCCCUUGGGAAACGGUACAUAAAAGCCUCCUAUCUUUCUCAUUUACUUAUCCUCUAACAUUUCCUUAAAGAGCACUUCUCCAGUUCGCCGCCAAAAACUUUCUACGUUGUCUCUCUUCUCUCGUUGGUCUUUUCAUUUGUCUCCUUUUUUAAUAUGCAUUCAUUCAAUUUUAGUUGUCAAAUGGGUCUUGAAAAAGCGUAAUCUUGAAGAAAAGAAAAUCCUCCCUAAAGGGCAGGCUCGUGCAAAUGAGGUACUCUGCUAUUCUUCUCCAGUGAUGCAGAUCUGUGUUUAUUUCUCAAUAAAUUAUUGGGGAAAUACUCCUCAUAUAAAUAAUCCUGACUGCAUAUGAUUGAAAUAUGCUGUGUUGCUUUGGCAUUGUAAAGACUUUCUAAACCACUAACAAACUAUAAACAGCAACCAACCUGUUCCUACAUAUGUUGUAUGGUGUAACAUCCAAAAUGUUUCAACGUUCAUCUGUGCAGCACGUUUAAAAUUUUCAUUAUCGAAGAGAACAGUAAUCGUGAAAUUGCAACAUAAUGCACAACCUGCAAGUUUUUCUCAUAGACUGAGAACUUUGUAGAUAUCAUUGAUUAU